CCCCGCGUGGCGGAAUUGGUAGACGCAGGAGACUUAAAAUCUCCGGCCCUCGGGCGUCCCGGUUCGAGCCCGGGCGCGGGGA
rnacentral:tRNA from 1 species